UUCAAUUUGGAUGUCUCCAUAUCCGACCAAAGAAUUGGUUUUAGACUUAGAGUUUUUUGGAUCCUUCACUUUCUCUCACACGGGAUUCUCACUCACAGAGUUUUUGGAACCCACCAUAAAAAUAGAAACCUAAGAAAAAAUGAAAGGAAGAAAAAAUCAAGAAGAAGGUAAGAGGGACUUACCUUCGAGUAAGAAAUCAAAAGGAAGCAACUAUCUUCCGAGAACUCUUCACACGGUGGAGAAAAAAGAAAAUCUGUCUAAAGGAGCUUUGGAACAAGAAAAAUGGUAAAGGAAGAAAAAAAUUUCACCAGAGUCAGUAGAGCAAGAAAAAAUAAAAUAAAAGAAGCCACUCCCUUAAAUAGAAAGAUGCACGUCUUUCGAAGGAUGUCAAGUCGGUACAAAUCCAUAAAAUGGACCACACGUCAAGCCUUCAUUAACUCAACAACUAGCCGACGGUCUCCAUAUUUAAUGCAUCCCCUC
rnacentral:lncRNA from 1 species